UUGACAUUUUUACAUUAAAAAUCCACAUUUGACCCAAAUUUCCCCAUUUUUAACCUCAAAAUUGACAUUUUUACGUCCAAAAAUCCCAAUUAAAAAAAACCCAAACAAUUUUAACCCCAACAUUGACAUUUUUACACCCAAAAACUCCCAUUGGUCACUCAGGAAGGCCGAUGGUCACUCAGGGGUCACUCAGCGGUCACUCAGGGGUCACUCUGGGGUCACUCAGGGAGGUCGGUGGUCACUCAGGGGUCACUCAGGGAGGCCGAUGGUCACUCAGGGAGGCCGAUGGUCACUUGGUGGUCACUCAGGGGUCACUCGGGGUCACUCGGGGUCACUCGGGCAGGUCGAUGACCAGCUCGUCGUCCCCGUCCAGGGAAGGUCGGUGGUCACUCGGUGGUCACUCAGGGAGGUCGAUGGUCACUCAGGAAGGCCGAUGGUCACUCAGCGGUCACUCAGUGGUCACUCGGGCAGGUCGAUGACCAGCUCGUCGUCCCCGUCCAGGGAAGGUCGGUGGUCACUCAGGGAGGUCAGUGGUCACUCAGGGGUCACUCGGGGUCACUCGGGCAGGUCGAUGACCAGCUCGUCGUCCCCGUCCAGGGGGUCGUCGCUGCCCUCCCCCUCCCCCUCCCCGCCCCCGGGGCCGCUCAGGAGCCGCCGGGGCAGCGUGGGGGGCACGGGGGGCGGGGCCGGGGGCGGGGCCAGCGCCGGGGGGAGGGGCGAGCCGGGGCCACGCCCCCCGCCCAGCCCCGCCCCCGCCUCGCCCCCAGGGAGGGGCAGAGGGGGAGGGGCCGGAGGGGGCUGGGGGGGAAGAGAAGGGGGGGAGGGGUCAGUGAGUGACCACUGAGUGACCGCUGACCCCUCCUUGACCCCCAUGACCCCUCCCCAUUUAACCCCACCCCUUUCCCCUUUUAACCCCGCCUUUUUUCUUAAGC
rnacentral:lncRNA from 1 species